UAAACCAUGCACCGAAGCUGCGGCAGCGACGCUUAUGCGUUGUUGGGUAGGGGAGCGUUCUGUAAGCCUGUGAAGGUGUACUGUGAGGUAUGCUGGAGGUAUCAGAAGUGCGAAUGCUGACAUAAGUAACGAUAAAGCGGGUGAAAAGCCCGCUCGCCGGAAGACCAAGGGUUCCUGUCCAACGUUAAUCGGGGCAGGGUGAGUCGACCCCUAAGGCGAGGCCGAAAGGCGUAGUCGAUGGGAAACAGGUUAAUAUUCCUGUACUUGGUGUUACUGCGAAGGGGGGACGGAGAAGGCUAUGUUGGCCGGGCGACGGUUGUCCCGGUUUAAGCGUGUAGGCUGGUUUUCCAGGCAAAUCCGGAAAAUCAAGGCUGAGGCGUGAUGACGAGGCACUACGGUGCUGAAGCAACAAAUGCCCUGCUUCCAGGAAAAGCCUCUAAGCAUCAGGUAACAUCAAAUCGUACCCCAAACCGACACAGGUGGUCAGGUAGAGAAUACCAAGGCGCUUGAGAGAACUCGGGUGAAGGAACUAGGCAAAAUGGUGCCGUAACUUCGGGAGAAGG
rnacentral:rRNA from 1 species